UAGGAUGGGGUGUUUGGGUAGCACGGAGAAUUUUGAAUUCUUAAGGGUAGGUUCGAUUCCUAUCAUCCUAG
rnacentral:tRNA from 1 species